GGGCUAUAGCCAAGCGGUAAGGCAACGGACUUUGACUCCGACAUUCGAGGGUUCGAUCCCCUUCAGCCGCC
rnacentral:tRNA from 1 species